AAAGGAACAAGGCAGAAGAAUUUUUAUCAUCCUCCUCUUUGACUGGGGACUUCCCUUUUGGAAGAAGCAAUGCACUACCUGACAACCUGCAGAAAGAAGACCAUGUAGGCAUGUCUUCAGAAAGUGGCAAAAGUGAAGAUAGGGCCCUUCCAGGUCCCUGGUCCUCUGUGAGGCCCCAGAUAGCCUUGCUUGUUCCUGCCUACCAUAUUGAUCUAUAAGACCAGUCUGACCAGGGCAUCAUGAUGCAGAAGUAGUGAGUCCUGAUUUUAGACGGGGGAGACUGAGGCCCGGUAGCUGCUGCUCCCCCAGAUACAGAGAAGCCAAACUGUGACAGCCCUGCUGGUGGCCUGCAUUCUCUUCCUGUGCUCAGGGAGUUGCCUGCUGGCUGGAAAUUACAACU